rnacentral:rRNA from 1 species
CAUGAAGUUGGAGUUGCUAGUAAUCGCGGAUCAGAAUGCCGCGGUGAAUGCGUUCCCGGGUCUUGUACACACCGCCCGUCACACCACGGAAGUUGGGGGUGCCCAAAGUUGGCAGGAUAAUAUGUUACCUAAGGCAAAACCGAUGACUGGGGUGAAGUCGUAACAAGGUAUC